rnacentral:rRNA from 1 species
GGAAUUGACGGGGGCCCGCACAAGCGGUGGAGCAUGUGGUUUAAUUCGAARCAACGCGAAGAACCUUACCAGGUCUUGACAUCCUCUGACAAUCCUAGAGAUAGGACGUCCCCUUCGGGGGCAGAGUGACAGGUGGUGCAUGGUUGUCGUCAGCUCGUGUCGUGAGAUGUUGGGUUAAGUCCCGCAACGAGCGCAACCCUUGAUCUUAGUUGCCAGCAUUCAGUUGGGCACUCUAAGGUGACUGCCGGUGACAAACCGGAGGAAGGUGGGGAUGACGUCAAAUCAUCAUGCCCCUUAUGACCUGGGCUACACACGUGCUACAAUGGACAGAACAAAGGGCAGCRAAACCGCGAGGUUAAGCCAAUCCCACAAAUCUGUUCUCAGUUCGGAUCGCAGUCUGCAACUCGACUGCGUGAAGCUGGAAUCGCUAGUAAUCGCGGAUCAGCAUGCCGCGGUGAAUACGUUCCCGGGCCUUGUACACACCGCCCGUCACACCACGAGAGUUUGUAACACCCGAAGUCGGUGAGGUAACCUUUAUGGAGCCAGCCGCCGAAGG